AUGUUCUUAGAAAAUAACGGCCUCCGUAUUCUCCUCCAUCGUGGGUUUAUCAAGGAUGAAACUUUCGCACAUCUUUUGUCUACAGUUCUUCUGAUUUUUAUUUUCAUUUUCUAAUACCAAGUAAAGAAACCAUGGACAAAUCGAGAUGCGAAUAUUCAAGUGAAGAAACCGUGGACAGAUCGAGAUGUGAAAUCAGAGGAAGGCUAACGAAGAUACUAAUGAACAAAUGCAAAGGCAAGGUGAACUGGAUUCUAGCAUAACUUAUUAUCCAUUGUUUUUAUGCGCUGACGAUUUGUGGAUAAAAUAUGGUUCCAUUUCUCCUGAAUGUUAGUGGGGUUGUUUGAAUUUGGAAUUGGAUUCUUUGUAAUUUACAAAAUUCGCUCCUUUUUGUUUAAAGUACAUUGCAUUUAUUUUAAUUUCAUCAAUCGUUUUAGAACUACAGUUUUGGCAUUGCGUAUUCAUGAAAACAGAUAAGCUUAACACUUCACACGUAUCCUAACUGAAAAUUGAGCCUUAUUUUUCUUCUUCUUUUGCAUCCAAUUGAUAUUAUAAUAUCCUUUGCUAGUUUACAAUAUCUCUGUUGUUCAAAAUAGCCAGUUAUUCGUAAUUGUGCACACUACAUAUCUAUGCGACUUAAGGAAUAGCUUAUGUUUAUAAUUUCUUUUUGUAUCUUUCAGAACCUAUGGAUUUAAAGCAUACUCCGGCUGUCUGAUUUGUUUAGAAUUCCCUUGUUUUAUGAUUUUAAUUGUUGCAUAACCUAUGGUCUUAUGUAAUCCGUUAGGUAUAUUUGGUGAUUCAGUUUAUGUUUUUAAUUGUUCUUUGCUUUAUGGUGAACCAUGCAUGACAAAUCUUGGUCUCCGAGUAACGGCUCACAACUUUGGAUAACAACAGUGAUGAUUUUGACUUUGCUGGUUCCUAAGAAAUUUCAACAAGCUAGAGGAAAGACACCACAUUGUACUGGUAGAAAAGGAAUUCCAAGAGUUGAACACUAGAUGGUACUACUUUAUUCGGUACUUCUUUUCUAAUUACAAUGAUCCAUGUGCAAGUAUUGAACGAUGAGAUGCUUGGUUUAUGUUUUCCAUUUGGGGGGCAAGUUUCUAUUAAAAAGAAUAGUCCAGAUGGUACGAUGGACAGACCUGUAGUAUAUAUGGCUACACAUGUUUACAAGGAUACCCCAGUUGACCCAUUACAUGCUAAACAUAUUGCAGCAAAGGAAAUACCUGUAGGGAACAUUUACGCAUUGAGAAAUUGAAAAAUCAAGGUCUACAAACUCAGGUAGAUGCGUUAGAGGCAAGAUGUAAUGUUUAUGAGGCAGGGAGGCAAGAUAACAACACUGCUGGACAAAAGCAGGAUCUAGCGACUGAAUGGGUAUUGAGAAAUUUAACGAAUAAAGAAGUUGCGCUUCGAUGUGUUAAUUUUAGUGCACCACCAAAUCAUGAAAACUAUGAUAUCUCUCUAUUGAUGCAUCAAUAACAACAUGGAACUGUGUUGGAGAUAUUUUUCUCUGUGAGAGAGAUUGAAUGGUCACAGCAACACGUCACUCUUGCACCUGGAAGUGAAAUCUUAUUGUUACUAUUUUUUUCCUUCUCCUUUGUUGUUUUAGCUUUUUUUGUUGAACUUAGAGAUGUUUGGGUUGUCAACUUACCUGAAUACAAAGUUAAUUUUAUUGAAUGAGUUUCAUUUGUGUA